CUUUCACCUUCUGCCAUGAUUGUGGGAGGCCUCUCCAGCCACGUGGAACCGCUGCAGUGUGUUCUACUGAAUGCAUGUACCAUAAUUUACUUAAUUAUCUGGGCUGAUUCUGAAUUUCUAUUAUGAACAAAGCCACACCAUGAAAAUGUGCCACUCAGAUCUGCUGCUGAGCACAUAAUUAACUGAUCACCCAGCUACUGUACGCUGAAUCCACCACUUCCUUCACUCUGAGGCCAUACUUCCCACAUGCUGCUUUUGGCCAGUAGCUGAAUAUUGCAGGGCUCUAAAGUGAUCAGACAUACGUCACUGGCUGUCAGGUCUUCCAAAGUCCCUAGCUCUGUGGCAGGCAGUGUCUGAGACAGCCUCUACCUCCUGGUAACCAUAUCCUUGUGUAAC